UCAUCAAAUCCAACGGCUCAUAUAUCUCUACCCCGAUCGAACGAUCAAGAUCAGCUCCGCCUCUCUUCCGCAUGCCGAUCGCUCGUCACGGCUCCGUUUCCGCGCCUCCCCUGCCAACGCCCCGCGCACAUCACGCCCUCACCCCUCCCUGCCACAUCUUCAACCCCCAACUCACGCAUCGUCCCCCUCCUCUCUCCUGGACUCCCCAUCGUCGCCGUCGCCGCAUGCCGCUCCUCUCCCCACUCGCGGGAGAGGAACUCUCUCCAAACCCUAACCCUAACCUCCUCUCUCUCCACGAAUACGCGCUGCACGCUGUUGCGCGCUCCCCUCCCCACUCGCCGGUUCCUCCGCGUCUCACCUGAUCUCCACCUCGAAAUCCGCCGCCGGAGCAGCGUUGGGUCGUCGCCCUCGGUGGCUCAUGUCGCACUGUCGCCCACCUUCGCGCCGCCACCGGUCUCCUCCGCACGAUUGGAACAGGAUAAUCUUCUGCUCAAGAAAACACCAAUGUUGGAGAUGAUCACAAUUGUCCUCCACUGCUCUUGAUCAUUCAAGCAGGCACAUAUACAUACAUAUACAAAAAGAUAUGCCAUGGUGUGGAUGGAAAUCGUGGAGGAAUUCUGCACCUGCACUCUAUUGACAGAGUUCUACUUAUAUAAACAUUGCAAGGGAUGCAUCUUUUGGUAAUUCACCAUUGAUAGGCAUUGUACUAAACUACUAAUACUAUAAUCUGCAGGUAAUACAUAUCCAUCUAUUUUUUCCCUUCAAAUCUACUAGACUUCAACAUACAAUUUUCUCAACCCCAGAUAUGUGGGUAUAUGCAGCUGAUUUGCAAUCACCAACCCCAGAUAUUUUAACCCUUAUAGCUUAACUUUGAAGUCCAUAUGUUAGGCGCAGAGUGGUAAAGUGGUUUAUGUCUAUUUUGAUCGAGCAGUUUGGCGAGCGGAGACGUGGAAUUAUACAAUGGUAGUUCAGGAGAAUUAACAUAGGCAUAGGUACUAUUUUUUACUGAUAGAUGUAUUUUGAAAUCUUCAUGGAUUAUGGAGCGGAACAGCUAAACUUUGCUCUGCUGUAACUUAGACCCAAUUGUGCAGUGUUCAUGGUAUGUCCGACAUUGCUUACUUAGAUAUGCUUAUGCUCUUAGUGGAAUCACUAAUAAACAUCGCCGGAUAUGUGUCCUUUUAGAUAUGCUUGUGUGUUUGCUUCCUGGAGAUUUGGUUGGGUUGGAACAAAAUGUUAUUUAUUUGCUUUAGAAUGCAGUGCCCUAUGUAUUACGAAAUUAUACUUCCUUUAAUUGAGUCUAAUGGCUUAGAAUCCCUAUAAUAUUGUUUAAUUGUGUGGAGAACAUGACCAAAAAUAUAUAAAAUGGAAAUAUAAUAUACUGCUGCUUCCCUGUAUUUCUUGGGAGAUUCUUUUUCAAGAUCAUCACUGAUCAGAUGCUACGAGUCUAGGAAUCUUUAAAGUUUGAUUUUCUUUUUGGCAUGUAUGGAUGUAUAUUUUGGUUUAAUCUUGCCAUAAUUUAUUUAUUUAUUACUACU
rnacentral:lncRNA from 1 species